rnacentral:piRNA from 1 species
CGCUCUGAUCUAAGCAGUGUGGAGC